rnacentral:rRNA from 1 species
UACCUGCAGCUCGAGUGGUAACCGCUAUUAUUGGGCCUAAAGCGUCCGUAGCCGGUUUGGUAAAUAUCUGGGUAAAUCGUGAGGCUUAACUUCACGAAUUUCGGAUAGACUGCCAGACUUGGGAUCGGGGGAGGUCAGAGGUACUCCAGGGGUAGCGGUGAAAUGUUGUAAUCCUUGGAGGACCACCGGUAGCGAAGGCGUCUGACUAGAACGAGUCCGACGGUGAGGGACGAAGCCCUGGGGCGCAAACCGGAUUAGAUACCCGGGUAGUCCAGGGUGUAAACUAUGUGGGCUUUGUAUUGGAGGUCCCACGUGGGCGUCCAGUGCAGAAGAGAAGUUGUUAAGCCCACCGCCUGGGAAGUACGGUCGCAAGGCUGAAACUUAAAGGAAUUGGCGGGGGAGCACAGCAACGGGAGGAGCGUGCGGUUU